rnacentral:rRNA from 1 species
GCACAAGCGGUGGAGCAUGUGGUUUAAUUCGACGCAACGCGAAGAACCUUACCUGGGCUCGAAAUGCACAAGAAUCCGGCAGAAACGUCGGCGUCCAGCAAUGGACUUGUGUAUAGGUGCUGCAUGGCUGUCGUCAGCUCGUGUCGUGAGAUGUUGGGUUAAGUCCCGCAACGAGCGCAACCCUUAUCUUCAGUUGCUACCAUUUAGUUGAGCACUCUGACGAAACCGCCUCGGAUAACGGGGAGGAAGGUGGGGAUGACGUCAAGUCCUCAUGGCCUUUAUGUCCAGGGCUACACACGUGCUACAAUGGCCGGUACAAACCGCUGCAAACCCGCGAGGGGGAGCUAAUCGGAAAAAGCCGGCCUCAGUUCGGAUUGGAGUCUGCAACUCGACUCCAUGAAGCUGGAAUCGCUAGUAAUCGUGGAUCAGCAUGCCACGGUGAAUACGUUCCCGGGC